CCUACGGGAGACAGCAGUGAGGAAUAUUGGUCAAUGGGCGAGAGCCUGAACCAGCCAAGUCGCGUGAGGGAGUACUGCCCUAUGGGUUGUAAACCUCUUUUGUCGGGGAGCAAAAGCCGGACGUGUCCGGCUGUGAGAGUACCCGAAGAAAAAGCAUCGGCUAACUCCGUGCCAGCAGCCGCGGUAAUACGGGGGAUGCGAGCGUUAUCCGGCUUUAUUGGGGUUAAAGGGUGCGCAGGCGGAUUUUUAAGUCAGCGGUCAAAUCGUGGGGCUCAACCCCAUCCAGCCGUUGAAACUGGGGAUCUAGAGUGUGCGAGAGGUAUGCGGAAUGCGUGGUGUAGCGGUGAAAUGCAUAGAUAUCACGCAGAACCCCGAUUGCGAAGGCAGCAUACCGGUGCACAACUGACGCUCAGGCACGAAAGCGUGGGUAUCGAACAGGAUUAGAUACCCCAGUAGUC
rnacentral:rRNA from 1 species